AACGAACGCUGGCGGCGUGGAUAAGACAUGCAAGUCGAACGGGACAGACCGAGUAGCAAUAUUUGGAAUGUUCAGUGGCGAACGGGUGCGUAACACGUGGAUAACAUUCCGGAAAGCGGGGAAUAGCCCAGGGAAACUUGGAUUAAUACCGCAUGUGGCCGCAAGGCUAAAGACGGGGACCGCAAGGCCUGUCACUUUCCGAUUGGUCCGCGGCCUAUCAGCUAGUUUGCGGGGUAAUGGCCCACCAAGGCUACGACGGGUAGCUGGUCUUAGAGGACGACCAGCCAAACUGGAACUGAGACACGGUCCAGACACCUACGGGUGGCAGCAGUCGAGAAUCUUUCACAAUGGGGGCAACCCUGAUGGAGCGACGCCGCGUGGAGGAUAAGGUCUUCGGAUUGUAAACCCCUGUCAUGCGAGAACAAGGUACUCAGGCUAAUAACCUGAUUGUUUGAUGGUACCGCAAGAGGAAGAGACGGCUAACUCUGUGCCAGCCGCCGCCGUAAAAC
rnacentral:rRNA from 1 species